rnacentral:rRNA from 1 species
UACGGAGGAUGCAAGCGUUAUCCGGAAUCAUUGGGCGUAAAGGGUCCUGAGGUGGUUUGCCCAGUCUACUGUGAAAGAUUAGGGCUCAACCCUGAAAAUGCGGUGGAAACUAGCAGGCUAGAAUACGGUAGGGGCAGGGGGAAUCCCCGGUGUAGCGGUGAAAUGCAUAGAUAUCGGGAAGAACACCAAUGGCGAAAGCACCCUGCUGGGCCGAUAUUGACACUGACAGACGAAAGCUAGGGGAGCAAAUGGG